GGGGAUGUAGUUCAGUGGUAGAGCAUUUGCUAGGUAUGCAUAAGGCCCUGAGUUCACUUCUUAGUGUCCACA
rnacentral:tRNA from 1 species